AAACUGAAGAGUUUGAUCCUGGCUCAGAUUGAACGCUGGCGGCAUGCCUUACACAUGCAAGUCGAGCGGCAGCGCGGGGGCAACCCUGGCGGCGAGCGGCGAACGGGUGAGUAAUACAUCGGAACGUGCCCAGUAGCGGGGGAUAACCAGUCGAAAGAUUGGCUAAUACCGCAUACGAUCUACGGAUGAAAGCGGGGGACCGCAAGGCCUCGCACUAUUGGAGCGGCCGAUGUCGGAUUAGCUAGUUGGCGGGGUAAGAGCCCACCAAGGCGACGAUCCGUAGCUGGUCUGAGAGGAUGAUCAGCCACACUGGAACUGAGACACGGUCCAGACUCCUACGGGAGGCAGCAGUG
rnacentral:ncRNA from 1 species